rnacentral:rRNA from 1 species
UUGAAGGUUGUUCCCUUGAGGAGUGGCUUUCGGAGCUAACGCGUUAAAUCGACCGCCUGGGGAGUACGGCCGCAAGGUUAAAACUCAAAUGAAUUGACGGGGGCCCGCACAAGCGGUGGAGCAUGUGGAUUAAUUCGAUGCAACGCGAAGAACCUUACCUACUCUUGACAUCCAGAGAAUUUAGCAGAGAUGCUUUAGUGCCUUCGGGAACUCUGAGACAGGUGCUGCAUGGCUGUCGUCAGCUCGUGUUGUGAAAUGUUGGGUUAAGUCCCGCAACGAGCGCAACCCUUAUCCUUUGUUGCCAGCGAUUCGGUCGGGAACUCAAAGGAGACUGCCGGUGAUAAACCGGAGGAAGGUGGGGAUGACGUCAAGUCAUCAUGGCCCUUACGAGUAGGGCUACACACGUGCUACAAUGGCGUAUACAAAGAGAAGCGACCUCGCGAGAGCAAGCGGAACUCAUAAAGUACGUCGUAGUCCGGAUUGGAGUCUGCAACUCGACUCCAUGAAGUCGGAAUCGCUAGUAAUCGUAGAUCAGAAUGCUACGGUGAAUACGUUCCCGGGCCUUGUACACACCGCCCGUCACACCAUGGGAGUGGGUUGCAAAAGAAGUAGGUAGCUUAACCUUCGGGAGGGCGCUUACCACUUUGUGAUUCAUGA